GUCACCACCCCCAUAUCACCUGAACCCCCUCCCCAUAUCACCUGAACCCCCUCCCCAUAUCACCUGAACCCCCUCCAACCCCUUUCUACCAGUCAUGCUGUGGUGCAUCUCAGCUAAAAGAGGUGGAAUCAUAGAACCUUUGGAAUAGAUUCUGACAGACGUCACUGCGUCACGAGCGUACGGAUGACUGACUCAGCUCCCCCCCGUUGGUUGGAUUUACCAGGGGAGGGGGCGGGGACCUGCUGCAGAUGACAGAUGCAGAAGCCAAUCAGGUUGGAAUCAAUAGCAAAAAAAACCGACAUAGACCAACAGACCCUUGGAUGAUAAAACAGGGCGGCCAACUGCUCAGACGCCCGGACUACAACGUCUCCUGGAAUUAUGACGUGGGACGAUGGCCGCUGCAGGAGAGACAGUCACGUGGAGGUUGGUGGAAGAUGAGCAGUCCUUCUGCUGUAUGACAGCUUCCUAAAACACCCCGCGGUUUCCCAUCCCACGACCCCUGGAGACCUCCCACGACCCCUGGAGACCUCCCACGACCCCUGGAGACCUCCCACGACCCCUGGAGACCUCCUCAACAAGGAGAAAAACACCAUCGCUGUCUUUUACCUCUGAGACGAGGAACGGAUGAAAUACACAAUGGAUUAGAUGAGGAAAACCCCUGACUCACUGGAGGACAGGGCUCUGACAUGCCUUUCCAUUAGGGACAACAUCACUGACAGGAUAUAGAAUACACCAUGGAUUAGAUGAGGAAACCCCUGACUCACUGGAGGACAGGGCUCUGACAUGCCUUUCCAUUAGGGACAACAUCACCUGACAGGAUAUAGAAUACACAUGGACAACAUCACCUGACAGGAUAUAGAAUACACAUGGAUUAGAUGAGGAAACCCCUGACUCACUGGAGGACAGGGCUCUGACAUGCCUUUCCAUUAGGGACAACAUCACCUGACAGGAUAUAGAAUACACAUGGACAACAUCACCUGACAGGAUAUAGAAUACACAUGGAUUAGAUGAGGAAACCCCUGACUCACUGGAGGACAGGGCUCUGACAUGCCUUUCCAUUAGGGACAACAUCACUGACAGGAUAUAGAAUACACCAUGGAUUAGAUGAGGAAACCCCUGACUCACUGGAGGACAGGGCUCUGACAUGCCUUUCCAUUAGGGACAACAUCACCUGACAGGAUAUAGAAUACACAUGGACAACAUCACCUGACAGGAUAUAGAA